GUCCCAUCCAUUUUGGUGGACUGGGACAUUUGGUCAAUUUGAAACAAUACAGAGAUGAUCAGCAGUUCCCCUGCAUAAGGAUGAACCGUUUUACAAAGAGAUUUACAAGUUUUUU
rfam:Lachancea nothofagi CBS 11611 genome assembly, chromosome: C